GUCUGUGUGCGUCUGUGUGUGUCUGUGUGUGUGUGGGGGAAAAAGGGAAGGAAGAAAGUACUCUGUUUAACUGGAGUGCUGCUUGGCCCCUACACCUUUUAAGACAGCUAAUGAUGAUCUAUUUCUCCCUGACGGCCCACAGUCUGGGAGCAGGAGGAGCACUGUCUGUCAUCAAGUGCUAACAAUCACUAAUUAGCAAUGAUGUCUAUUAACACUGCCACCAGUGCAAGUGUUCUUGCAGCUGCCAUUCAGCACAAGGGCUGGCCAUGGACUGGUUAGCUGGAGGCAGUCUUAUCUGAACACAUUUCAUAAUUGCAUGAAGAAUUCUGCUUCAAACUGCAUGGAACUCUCUACCAUGCCAGAGUCCUGGAGGGGUCCACUCCCUGGCCCAGCACUAACUGCAGCUGUGGCACCUCCACCUGAGCUUUAGCAUUCAUGAAGCCUGUGCUCCCUAGGACAUCGCAGGAGAGACUAGUACUUUCCAGGCCAGAGAGCCGUCAGCACAGCUCAGGUUUCCUGCCAUUGAUCAAGUGCUCUUCUCUCUGCUGUGGGGCUGUGAGAGAAACCCGAUGGCUCGGUCGGAGAUGAUGAGAGGAAGGAGAAAACAAGAGAAUCAAUACACACUUCUUCACAGUCUUCUAUUUCUUUUCCUUUUGAAGAGGCCUGGGUGAGUAUUUGUGUUCGUGUAUAACUCACUACAUCUCUGUGUAGCUAAAGGUGUGGUUGGAAACUUUCAUAUGGACACAAGUUUUAAGUUAAUACAAUAAGAUACGAACUAUGUAUUAUAUAUUAAUAACAGCUAAAAGUCAAACAUUUUUGCUUGACUAGAAGAUAGAUAACAUUUGAUAGAAUUUUUGCU